AAAAUAGCGCAAUGGAUAGCUCGUUGGAUUUCUAAUCCAAAUGUCGUGGGUACGAAUUCUAUUUGGGAUG